rnacentral:rRNA from 1 species
CCAAUAGCGUAUAUUAAAGUUGCUGCAGUCAAAAAGCUCGUAGUUGAAUUUCGGGACCAAUAUGCCGGUCGUGCCUCGGUACGUACUGGCAUCGUUGGUUUCUCCCUUCUGAUGAACCAUGAUGUCAUUUAUUUGGUGUCGUGGGGAAUCAGGACUGUUACUUUGAAAAAAAUUAGAGUGUUUAAAGCAGGCUCACGCUUGAAUACAUUAGCAUGGAAUAAUGAAAUAGGACGUUUGAUUCUAUUUUGUUGGUUUCUAGGAUCGACGUAAUGAUUAAUAGGGAUAGUUGGGGGCAUUAGUAUUCAAUUGUCAGAGGUGAAAUUCUUGGAUUUAUUGAAGACUAACUACUGCGAAAGCAUUUGCCAAGGAUGUUUUCAUUAAUCAAGAACGAAAGUUAGGGGAUCGAAGACGAUCAGAUACCGUCGUAGUCUUAACCAUAAACUAUGCCGACUAGGGAUCGGAUGAUGUUAAUUUUUUAAUGACUCAUUCGGCGCCUUACG